rnacentral:rRNA from 1 species
UGGGGAAUCUUGCGCAAUGGCCGAAAGGCUGACGCAGCGACGCCGCGUGCGGGAUGAAGCUUUUCGGAGUGUAAACCGCUGUCGGGUGGGACGAAGGUCCCGGGGAGGAAAUGCCUUGGGGAUGACGGUACCACCAAAGGAAGCACCGGCUAACUUCGUGCCAGCAGCCGCGGUAAUACGAAGGGUGCGAGCGUUGUUCGGAAUUAUUGGGCGUAAAGCGCACGUAGGCGGCCUUGUAAGUCUCACUGUGAAAGUCCGGGGCUCAACCCCGGGAUUGCAGGGGAUACUGCGAGGCUUGAGACAAGUAGAGGUUGGUAGAAUUCCGGGUGUAGCGGUGGAAUGCGUAGAGAUCCGGAGGAAUACCAGAGGCGAAGGCGGCCAACUGGGCUUGUUCUGACGCUGAGGUGCGAAAGCGUGGGGAGCGAACAG